rnacentral:misc_RNA from 1 species
GACAGCGCAUCCACGCGCACGCGCAGUAACACUCAGCCCGACUAGCAACACGGCAGCCAAUCCGCGUGAAGCCAUCGGGAAAUUCAAACUUGAACGCGUGCAACGUAUACUUCAUUCCGUCGUUGACUCUGAACGUUGGGUGUUCGGCCUUUCGCUCUUGCGACCUUCGACGAGAAUGACUGCUACAUAGAAGUUCAGAUAUCUGUAGUGCAGGAAAAUACCGGAGCAAUACGACACUUGCGUUUGAUCGCGAUUGCGGACGAGGAACGUGGGCAACAUACAGUAUAAUAUUAACGUUUAGUUGCGGUGUCGCUUGGAGAAAUCUCACAUGUUUUGACAUACGGCAGUAAUUAAUUCUCUUUAUGACUUGGUAGUAUCGGUUUAUAAAAGGACAAUUAAAUAUUGACACACAAUGGGAGAUUAUCACGCGCCGCAAUGGAUAGAUUUUAUUGAGAACUGCAGUCCACAGCCUCCGAUCAAAGAUUUCUUCGAUACGGUCCACUCGGUACAUGAACGCCCGCUCAAUGACUCCGCCGCUGAGAACGCGGAGAAUGUUCAGCCUGCAGGAUCACAGAAUAACAUUCCGGCUCUACGGAGUACCGUCAGCACAAAGGCACAGGAGGACUUAAACAUCAUAAGAAGUACCCCCGUCAAGGUGAUCUCCCCAAAACAUCGUAAUAACAAGGAAACCGUGGUGGGAGAGACCACUUACGAGCAGGUGCUCAGCGACGCGAUGAAAAAAUUAGAGCUCUGCAAAAAGCCGCUUAGGGCUAGUCGGGAUGUACUGAAUAAAGUAACGACUCAACAUGCUGAUACCUUCAAGACCCCACGCAUGCCCAUCACCAAGUCGUCCAGAUCCGUCGGCUAUCACAGUGCAUCAACUAGACUAAACGUUCCACACGGCCAGAAUUCUGCACCAAGAGCCGUAAAAGUUAACAGAAACACGCCACUUAGGGGCACGCCUGUAAAUCCGAAGAGAGCAUCGGUCAGCUGCUCCCUGUUUAAAGAAGAUAAAGGUGACGUGAAACAUGGUACUUCCAAGAGACCGAAUGAUCCAGUAGACGAGCCUAAGAACGAUAAGAAAGCAAGUGAGAAACAUGAAGAGGAAAAUCAUGAAAAACAUGAGAAGGACGAUAAUAACGAAUACAACGAAGAAGGUGAACAAGAACGAGGUAACCAGGAAGAUGCUACAGCCUCGCAAGACGACUCGGAAGAAUGCGGUCAGGACAACGUGGACGCCAAGACCGAGAAGCACAAUGAAACACAGCCUACCAAGCGCCUGGGGGUGCUCACCUGGCAAAACCGUAGACGGAGUCUGCACAAACGCAGAAGCGGGCCCGCCAACAACCAGUAUGUCAGCCUGGCAGAAGCGGUAUCACGCUUCCAGACGGAGACGCCGAAACGCUUCCGCACCAGGAGCACCAAGGAGAACCACGCGGCCGGCAUGACGAUGAACGUGUCGAAAUUGGUGCAGAAUCGUCUGAAGCCGACGAUACCGAUCUCGCCAGCGCUCAUGUCGAAGAACAGGACGCGCGCCGUCACCGUGCUGAGCCAGGAGGAGCGCGAGAAGCAGCAGAUGGAGGAGAUAAAGAAGCACCCGAUAAAGGCGAAUCCGAUACCGCGCGCCGUGCUGCAGGGCCCCCGCAUGAAGGUCGCCGGCACCACGAAGAAGCAGGCAACGACGAAAACCGCAUCCUCAUUCUCGCAACUGAGUAAAAAGAGCCGCGCCACUCUGCCAAGCUCGUUUCAAUUGAAGGCGACGUCGCUACAUCACGACAAGGCGACGUCGGCUGCUGGCCCCAAAAAUACAGUCACGAAAGUCUUGGUGACCGAUCCUACGGGCAUCAUCGUCGAACAGGAGGAGAUAACGUUCUUUGGCGUGCCCAAGGACACUGGCGCGACGAAGGGCGUGACGCGAAUUGUGCCGUUUAGCUUCGAGGCACGCAACAAGGAUCUCCAGAUGAAGAGGGAACAGCGACUCAAGAGCCUGCAGGAGGCGAGCAAAACGAAGGUGGGAUUCCAGGCUAGACCAGCGCCGAAUUUCUCGAAGGCACCGACGUCAACGGGUAAACAACAACAGAUUUUGAAGAAGUCUAAUUCUGUGCUGCCCUGUCCGUUCAGCUUCGAAGAGCGAGACAAAAAAUUGCCGAAGAGGAAAGAGCAGCUAGAGAAGACGUUGCUGGACGAGGACAAGCGAGCGCGCGUAUUCCGUGCGAAUCCGGCGCCGGUCUUCAAGCCCGUGUUGGUGCGCGGUAGAUCCAGAGAGCAUCUUUCGAUCAGAGAUAAGAGCGCGAGGACGGCAGACAAGGAGUGCGAGGACCAGGAGAAUAGAGAGCCGAACGUUGACACAGAGAGCACAUCUAUGCAGAAAACGAUGAGUCUCCCAUGCAUUGAUAAGACGCCGCUGAUGGAGAAGCGAGAAGAGAACGCGAGGGCUCUGCCGAUAGAAUUGCACUCGGAUAAACGGGCGAAGGAACGACGGGAAUUUGACGAGAAGGUAAAACGUAAGGAGAUGGAGGACGUGCUGAAGCAUGAAGAAGAAAACAGAAAACAAGUGGAACAAGAAAAACGGAUAAAAGCAGAAUUACGUAAACUGACGGAAGUGAAGGCCAGGCCGAUGCCGGUAUAUAAGCCGAUGGUUAUUGAAAAGGCGACGAAACAGCUGACCGAGCCGCAGAGUCCCGCGUUCGCGCACAAGCUCCGAAGGAAGCAAACAUAAACAUUCCGUUUUCGUUCGUAUCGACCGCUUGAUUGUAACUAUAUUAUUUUUCGAGAUAUCCUUAGUAUACGAAAAGAAAAUAACAAAUUAAUAUCUUGAUAAAUAUUAGUUUUAGAAAUGUGUUUUAAAAAAGUAUCAUUGGCUGUAAUAACGGUGCUUCUGAGACGCAACGUGAUAAAUUUUCUUAGAAUAAAACAUGAUUUUUCGGACAUGGCCUCUCUUUUUUAUUAUCGAUCCGUCAAACUAACAUAUUUUAAUUUGAUGUACAAAAUAUCAUAAAGCGUAAGAAUAAAGGAGCAGUUUUCAGAA